AUUCCGCUGACUUCUUCGAUGAUAUAUGCACGUGACGUCACCAUAACUAGUCAUUUUUGUCUCUUCGCCCUUUAGUGUGCGAAUUCGGAAAUACCGGUAAUAACGUUUUUUUAAACUGCAAAGAAUAAAGAAAGACGCGGGACAACUGGAAUCCUGGUAAAUUACCAAACUUCCCAGAUAGUCCUGGCUGCUGGCCCUGCCACUGCUGCUUACUAACAGAGUGUGGACAGCAGGGGAGGCUAGAGUACUCCUCCAGGGGGCUGGGACGCUUCCAGCUGGGUCGCUGAGGUGUGGAGCUCGCCUCGGGGUAAUCCUCUUGUACUUUCUUCAAGGGAAAAUUCCCCAUUUCUCCGUUUCCCAUCGGCUGGCUUGUGGCUUAAAAAGACACACUUUAUUACACUUUGGAGGUUCCAGGCAGCAGUGGACAGUAUGGAGGAGACAACCGUGGCUGCAGCCUCAGAAAUGUUGAUCUUCAUCCAGACCACGUUGCACUCAUACAAACCAGUAGAGAUUACAGGUCAAAUGCAGGUCAGUGCAGAUAUCAUUGUCACCAAACCGUACACUCUCCAGACCAUGGCGGUGCCACUGCCCACACCUACCCUCAUUAAAGGGGAACUGUCUGUUUACAGCUCUUGGGUAGUACAACGCAUAUGUGAAAAAAAAAAAGUUAUCCACUCUCCAUUAACUUGUAUUGCUGGAAGGUACCUCCACGUGUCAAUUUCGUCUGCUGUGCUACCAACAGGGUAAAUAACCC